rnacentral:rRNA from 1 species
CUAAUACAUGCAAGUCGAACGCUUUGUGGUUCAACUGAUUUGAAGAGCUUGCUCAGAUAUGACGAUGGACAUUGCAAAGAGUGGCGAACGGGUGAGUAACACGUGGGAAACCUACCUCUUAGCAGGGGAUAACAUUUGGAAACAGAUGCUAAUACCGUAUAACAAUGACAACCGCAUGGUUGUUAUUUAAAAGAUGGUUCUGCUAUCACUAAGAGAUGGUCCCGCGGUGCAUUAGCUAGUUGGUAAGGUAAUGGCUUACCAAGGCGAUGAUGCAUAGCCGAGUUGAGAGACUGAUCGGCCACAAUGGGACUGAGACACGGCCCAUACUCCUACGGGAGGCAGCAGUAGGGAAUCUUCCACAAUGGGCGAAAGCCUGAUGGAGCAACGCCGCGUGUGUGAUGAAGGGUUUCGGCUCGUAAAACACUGUUGUAAGAGAAGAAUGACAUUGAGAGUAACUGUUCAAUGUGUGACGGUAUCUUACCAGAAAGGAACGGCUAAAUACGUGCCAGCAGCCGCGGUAAUACGUAUGUUCCAAGCGUUAUCCGGAUUUAUUGGGCGUAAAGCGAGCGCAGACGGUUAUUUAAGUCUGAAGUGAAAGCCCUCAGCUCAACUGAGGAAUUGCUUUGGAAACUGGAUGACUUGAGUGCAGUAGAGGAAAGUGGAACUCCAUGUGUAGCGGUGAAAUGCGUAGAUAUAUGGAAGAACACCAGUGGCGAAGGCGGCUUUCUGGACUGUAACUGACGUUGAGGCUCGAAAGUGUGGGUAGCAAACAGGAUUAGAUACCCUGGUAGUCCACACCGUAAACGAUGAGUGCUAGGUGUUUGAGGGUUUCCGCCCUUAAGUGCCGCAGCUAACGCAUUAAGCACUCCGCCUGGG